rnacentral:tRNA from 1 species
UAAAUUUUAGUUUAAGAUAGAAUAAUUCAUUUACAUUGAAAAGGUUUUAAUAAAAAUUAAGAAAUUUAU